rnacentral:rRNA from 1 species
UACCAGCACCCCGAGUGGUCGGGACGAUUAUUGGGCCUAAAGCAUCCGUAGCUUGUUCUGCAAGUCCUCCGUUAAAUCCACCUGCUUAACAGAUGGGCUGCGGAAGAUACUAUAGAGCUAGGAGGCGGGAGAGGCAAGCGGUACUCGAUGGGUAGGGGUAAAAUCCGUUGAUCCAUUGAAGACCACCAGUGGCGAAGGCGGCUUGCCAGAACGCGCUCGACGGUGAGGGAUGAAAGCUGGGGGAGCAAACCGG